ensembl:lncRNA
AGAAACCUCUGCGGAGCUCUGGCUAUAGGAUCUCAAGCUGCUGGAUAUCCCAAUGCGGUUUUGCUCAAAUAUGGGUCGAGAUGCACCAGCGUGUGGACACCUUCCUGCAAAAUCUCUUUGAGGACAACAUGCAGGUGGCUGGGCAUCACCCACUCCUGUCCCCUCCUGGCUGGGGCAAGGACGGACUCAGUGAGGAGCUGCUUGGAGCUUUCGAUACUCAGCUGGAGAACGACGACGACUCGGUGGAGUUAGCCCUGAUGAAGCUGGAGGACGGACUCAGUGAGGACCUGCUUGGAGCUUUCGAUGCUCAGCUGGAGAACGACGACUCGGUGAGUUUGAGCUGCUGUCUCAGACCCUCCCCCCUCCCCAUUGUGUUGGUGCUGCCACGUGCGGACAGAGCUCCCCUGCGUCCUGGAGCCCUGCCCUCAAUUCCAUGACGCUGCACCCAGGCGGGCCUGCUGCUGGGCUCGGAGGUCAGGUGGGCGACAGGCAGGUAUACCCCACCUUCGUGGUUUAUGACUUGGAGGGGAACUGAGCGGCCAGGCCCAGCCCCUGGGAAAAGUCCUGGGGUCUGUGGGGCUGUUGGCAGGAAAGCAGCCUGUGUCCAAGGCGGGGCAUGAGGGGGGUGUCUGCCACCAGGACUCUCCCAAAGGCAGGGCCUCAGCCAAGGUCAGGACUGGGGCUGCCUCUCCCCAGGCGGGUCCCUGAACCACCCCCCAUCCCUGCAGAAUCCAGUCCUCUGCUCAACGAAGUCCGGCAGGGAGUCCGUUCUAGAGUCCGAAGGCCUCCUGGCCACAACCAGCCACAUUAUGCGCUAGCGGUCCGGGAGCCCAGGCAGAGCACUUUCAGACGCAUCCUUGAGCUGUUUGAGGAAAUGCUGAAGCGCCUGCAGCAGAGGUGGAGGGGUGCCCUGGCUUGGGUGCAGGAAAGGGCUGCUGCCUGCUUCCGGGGCUUGUGCAGGGCCCUUGAAGCUUUCUGGAGCCUGGUGCAGAGUUUUUGCUCCUCCAUGGGGCACGCCUUCGGGAGUGUCAUCCAGGUCUAAGGUGCUCCAGGUGAAAUAAGAGUUUCUAGAGCACAACCUCCCCCUGCCUUGGCUAAAAAGGCAGCUGUAAGCCUUUCCAGCUGUGCUCACCUCAUACCACCCUUCUUGUAAUAAUGUAGCAGCUGGGGAGUUCCCGUCGUGGCGCAGUGGUUAACGAAUCCGACUAGGAACNNNNNNNNNNNNNNNNNNNNNNNNNNNNNNNNNNNNNNNNNNNNNNNNNNNNNNNNNNNNNNNNNNNNNNNNNNNNNNUGAACUGUGGUGUAGGUUGCAGACUCGGCUUGGACCUGGCAUUGCUGUGGCUCUGGUGUAGGCCAGCAGCUGUAGCUUUGAUUAGACCCUUAGCCUGGGAACUUCCAUAUACCACAAAAAAAAAAAAAAAAAAAAAAAAAAAAAAAAAAAAAAGUAGCAGCUGGGUGCCCUCUGCCCAAGCCAGCAGCCCUGCUAAUGGUGUACCCAGCAUUUCUUAUCCGUUCCGCUUCUGUCACCUCACUUGCUCAGACAGGGAGGAAUACUGUGCUGGGGGAAGGGGGAAGGUCCGGGAUGCUUACCUGGAAAGAUAAGACCUUGACAUGUGUAAAAGCUGCCGAGAACAAAGACCUGGUACUCAGACUCUGGAGGUGGCUCCUCCGAGCCUGCACCGGUGCUGAAUAAAGCUUGCCUUUCCAUA